CAAACAGGCUCAGGAGGCGGUGACUCCGCUGCAGCGGACCCUGGGGAAGCGAGUUGACGCCACUGCAGCCUUUUGAAGAGGAAAAGCGGAGACCCUCAGCUACAGAUCUUUGAAAUUUCUUACAUGACUUCUGAUCUUCACAACUGUGCAAUCCAUUUUUAAAACGGGAAAAAGACUCAGAAAUCAGAAGUUGUACGUCUAGAGUCGCUUAUUCACCAUAUUUCAUUGUCUUGAUAGCAUCACUAGGUCACAUCCAGGAAGAGCAAGAUCUGGGAUUUGAACAGAGGCUCAUCUGACACUAAAGUAUGUACUGCAUCAACUACUCUUUACCAAACGAAAGAUAAAGAGUACACUCUCCAGGGAGGUUGAAAAUGAAUAGAUCACAGGACACUAUGUGCUGAGCUUCUUAGAGAAAAAGAGUUAAGUAAAAUCUAAGGCAUUUCAUGUACUUCCCUGGUGGUCCAGUGGUUAAGAAUCCCCCUGCCAAUGCAGGGGAGGACACGGGUUCGAUCCCCGGUCAGGAACUAAGAUCCCACGUGCCAGCUAAGCCUGCAUGCCACAACUAAUGAGCCUGCGUGCCUCAACUAGAGAGAAGCGGAAGAGCCCACACGCCACAAUGAAAGAUCCUACCUGCCACAACUAAGACCC